AUUGAACGCUGGCGGCAGGCCUAACACAUGCAAGUCGAGCGAGCGGCGGACGGGUGAGUAAUGUCUGGGAAACUGCCUGAUGGAGGGGGAUAACUACUGGAAACGGUAGCUAAUACCGCAUACCCUCAGAUGUGCCCAGAUGGGAUUAGCUAGUAGGUGGGGUAAUGGCUCACCUAGGCGACGAUCCCUAGCUGGUCUGAGAGGAUGACCAGCCAAACGGGAACUGAGAAACGGCCCAGACUCCUACGGGGGGCAGCAGUGGGAAAUAUUGCACAAUGGGCGCAAGCCGGAUGCAGCCAUGCGGGGUGGGUGAAGAAGGCCUUCGGGUGGUAAAGCACUUUCAGCGGGGAGGCGUUACCCGCAGAAGAAGCACCGGCUAACUCCGUGCCAGCAGCCGCGGUAAUC
rnacentral:rRNA from 1 species